AGAAUNUUGAUCCUGGCUCAGGACGAACGCUGGCGGCGUGCUUAACACAUGCAAGUCGAACGGAAAGGCCCUGCUUUUGUGGGGUGCUCGAGUGGCGAACGGGUGAGUAACACGUGAGUAACCUGCCCUUGACUUUGGGAUAACUUCAGGAAACUGGGGCUAAUACCGGAUAGGAACUCCUGCUGCAUGGUGGGGGUUGGAAAGUUUCGGCGGUUGGGGAUGGACUCGCGGCUUAUCAGCUUGUUGGUGGGGUAGUGGCUUACCAAGGCUUUGACGGGUAGCCGGCCUGAGAGGGUGACCGGCCACAUUGGGACUGAGAUACGGCCCAGACUCCUACGGGAGGCAGCAGUGGGGAAUAUUGCACAAUGGGCGGAAGCCUGAUGCAGCAACGCCGCGUGCGGGAUGACGGCCUUCGGGUUGUAAACCGCUUUCGCCUGUGACGAAGCGUGAGUGACGGUAAUGGGUAAAGAAGCACCGGCUAACUACGUGCCAGCAGCCGCGGUGAUACGUAGGGUGCGAGCGUUGUCCGGAUUUAUUGGGCGUAAAGGGCUCGUAGGUGGUUGAUCGCGUCGGAAGUGUAAUCUUGGGGCUUAACCCUGAGCGUGCUUUCGAUACGGGUUGACUUGAGGAAGGUAGGGGAGAAUGGAAUUCCUGGUGGAGCGGUGGAAUGCGCAGAUAUCAGGAGGAACACCAGUGGCGAAGGCGGUUCUCUGGGCCUUUCCUGACGCUGAGGAGCGAAAGCGUGGGGAGCGAACAGGCUUAGAUACCCUGGUAGUCCACGCUGUAAACGGUGGGUACUAGGUGUGGGGUCCAUUCCACGGGUUCCGUGCCGUAGCUAACGCUUUAAGUACCCCGCCUGGGGAGUACGGCCGCAAGGCUAAAACUCAAAGGAAUUGACGGGGCCCCGCACAAGCGGCGGAGCAUGCGGAUUAAUUCGAUGCAACGCGUAGAACCUUACCUGGGUUUGACAUGGAUCGGGAGUGCUCAGAGAUGGGUGUGCCUCUUUUGGGGUCGGUUCACAGGUGGUGCAUGGCUGUCGUCAGCUCGUGUCGUGAGAUGUUGGGUUAAGUCCCGCAACGAGCGCAACCCUUGUUCACUGUUGCCAGCACGUUAUGGUGGGGACUCAGUGGAGACCGCCGGGGUCAACUCGGAGGAAGGUGGGGAUGACGU
rnacentral:rRNA from 1 species